rnacentral:rRNA from 1 species
CGGUAGAGAGAAGCUUGCUUCUCUUGAGAGCGGCGGACGGGUGAGUAAUGCCUAGGAAUCUGCCUGGUAGUGGGGGAUAACGUUCGGAAACGAACGCUAAUACCGCAUACGUCCUACGGGAGAAAGCAGGGGACCUUCGGGCCUUGCGCUAUCAGAUGAGCCUAGGUCGGAUUAGCUAGUUGGUGAGGUAAUGGCUCACCAAGGCGACGAUCCGUAACUGGUCUGAGAGGAUGAUCAGUCACACUGGAACUGAGACACGGUCCAGACUCCUACGGGAGGCAGCAGUGGGGAAUAUUGGACAAUGGGCGAAAGCCUGAUCCAGCCAUGCCGCGUGUGUGAAGAAGGUCUUCGGAUUGUAAAGCACUUUAAGUUGGGAGGAAGGGCAGUUACCUAAUACGUGAUUGUUUUGACGUUACCGACAGAAUAAGCACCGGCUAACUCUGUGCCAGCAGCCGCGGUAAUACAGAGGGUGCAAGCGUUAAUCGGAAUUACUGGGCGUAAAGCGCGCGUAGGUGGUUUGUUAAGUUGGAUGUGAAAUCCCCGGGCUCAACCUGGGAACUGCAUUCAAAACUGACUGACUAGAGUAUGGUAGAGGGUGGUGGAAUUUCCUGUGUAGCGGUGAAAUGCGUAGAUAUAGGAAGGAACACCAGUGGCGAAGGCGACCACCUGGACUAAUACUGACACUGAGGUG